CCGCACACGCGCAGCCCCGCUCCGUCCUCCCCUCGCGGCUUCCCCUCCCGUAACCCUACAUCCUCCUCUCCUCUGAGCCGCCGCCGCCCGUCCUCCUCCUCUCCUCUGCGCCACCCUGCCCAUCCUCCUCCUCUCCUCUGCGCUGCUGUUGCCCGUCUUCCUCCUCUCAUCUGUGUCGCCGCCGCCCGUCCUCCUCCUCUCCUCUGCGCCGCCCGUCUCUGUCGUCGUUUGGCCUAGAUGCGUUCGGAGUCCGUCGGCGCCGCACGCGGAGGAGACGCGGCGAGGAGGAGCACGAGCCACCUGAGCAGUGGGUCGUCGCGCCGUUGAUGGGAGGAAGCUGGGCAUCAUCCACGGGGAAGCACAAGGCGCUGGUGGAUUGGGGUUUCUCGUGACUGGAUCGAGGUCAGAGUGUCGUCGCCGUUACCCGUCACCGGCUUUGCCUCACCUCAGGUGCCUCCUCAUUGCUCUCUCAAUCUUCCCUCUGUUCUUUGCCUCUAAGCGUGUUGGGUCUGUUAUAUGCCGCGUGCUCGGCUGGGAUAUCGAGCGGCUGCCCAGCAUCGUCAUCAACCCCCGGGCAUGCCUCGGACAGGCCUCCUGGCCAGGGAGGGCGAGGGCGCCACCGCUCAGGAGGCAAAGGUUCUCAGGCUAUUUGCUUCUGCAGGUCGCCCACCAACGAGACCGCCUGAGUAGUAAAAUUAUUGAUUGCAGGGGAAUGUUGACACUAGAUAAUGAUGGUGCAGAUGCAGUGAAGGUGUGAAAAUUGUGGUUAUUGAUGUUUGGUGAGAUUGCUGGAGGAUGUUGGUAGUAUAAUGAAUGACUUCCCCUUGAGUGGUGGGAAUGCAGCAAAGGUCUGCAACAUAGAUGAUCACUGAUCGACUAUGAGAUUGUUGCUUGGUUAUGAUCUGUUUUGGUUGCGACUUUCACGAUGAUGUUGCUGCAGGGAAGAUCGGUCCUCCAACUAAAGACAAUGGCGGAGAGGUUCAUGAGCAAGGGCAUGAUACAAGAAGUGUUGAAAAGGUUCAAGGGAUCUUCUCCAUAAAUCCAGAGAAUGACCAAGAAGAGCAUCUCUUGGUACUUCAAAGUUUAUACCGCACUUCACGACAAGGAAAGAAAAGAGAAGAAUGGCUCUGAGGACCAAAAGGAUGAUGUUGCUGCAGGGAAGAUCGGUCCUCCAAGUAAAGACAAUGGCGGAGAGGUUCAUGAGCAAGGGCAUGAUACAAGAAGUGUUGAAAAGGUUCAAGGGAUCUUCUCCAUAAAUCCAGAGAAUGACCAAGAAGAGCAUCUCUUGGUACUUCAAAGUUUAUACCGCACUUCACGACAAGGAAAGAAAAGAGAAGAAUGGCUCUGAGGACCAAAAGUGUGAGUUCUUUCCACAAGCAACAAAAUCUAUCAGGCCCACAAGUGUUGAACUGGGCUCGGCCCGAUUACAAGAGGAGAGAAGCCGAGGAAUAUAAGAAGACACGUUCCACUCAGUAUCCACAUUUCACGGUACCUCGCCUGGAUCUAGAAGUGCGGCUACAACGACCUCGACCUGGCCAAAGUACAAACCCAACCCUUCUCGGCGGAUCUCGAUUGAAUCUUGGGCUCAAGUACUAGGCACAUCAUGGAAGGGGCAAGAGCCGACGACCCGAUCUACCGCAGUAAUGACGAAGUUUUUCAGGUAGACACUGUCGUAAAUGCCACCGUGCCGGAAAGCCAAGGAUUGAAACCAUGUGCAGUGAACCAUACCUUUGUGAGAGGACCAAGACAAGAGGACCGCUUGGUGCUUCUACGCGAAAAAGCUAAAAAUAUCUCCAUACGAGCAUGAUUGACUCAAGCAAUCUGUUGGUACGACGAAGCCUGCCAUCAGGUAUUACAUAUGUGAGACGACCGAGACUACCACCGCUCCCGGCCAACAAAUGGUGAGAGGAAUGAUCUUGACCAUCAUAUGCUACCAGUUUCCAGUAUUUCUCAGCUCCAUCACAUGGAGAUACCUAGCAAGUAACCUUGAACAAUCAAUCGAUGAUGUGCGCUAAGGAGCAGGUCAGAAUUAUUAUGGGCGUGAAUGCAAGAGCAACCAUCAGAACCAAUUGGUCAUACUUUGUGACAAUAACAGCUUGCAAAACUUUUAGCUAUGUGCCUUUGCCUUCAAGUCUAAAAUGGGCAGACUGUCGCUCACUGUCUACCCGCUUUGGGAAGGCAGUUAUGAAAUCAUACUAUUAUGCAAAUACUUCUAUGUGAUUUCAUUGGCUAGACCGUAAAAUCGCCAGAGAUUCAUGUAUUAUGUCAUGUAAUGAGUCAGGAUGACCCAACGAAGCUAUCAAGUAUUAGGCUUCAGCAUAACUACUUAAGUUCUUUAUCUCGCAUCGCCUAUGUGGCUCCCUUUGCCUAUAUAAUGACUCAACUGUUGUAUUUACUUAGUGAUGAUCCAUCGUCUAAACUUA